rnacentral:rRNA from 1 species
AGUGAACGCUGGCGGUAGGCCUAACACAUGCAAGUCGAACGGCAGCACAGUAAGAGCUUGCUCUUACGGGUGGCGAGUGGCGGACGGGUGAGGAAUACAUCGGAAUCUACUUUUUCGUGGGGGAUAACGUAGGGAAACUUACGCUAAUACCGCAUACGACCUACGGGUGAAAGCAGGGGAUCUUCGGACCUUGCGCGAUUGUAUGAGCCGAUGUCGGAUUAGCUAGUUGGCGGGGUAAAGGCCCACCAAGGCGACGAUCCGUAGCUGGUCUGAGAGGAUGAUCAGCCACACUGGAACUGAGACACGGUCCAGACUCCUACGGGAGGCAGCAGUGGGGAAUAUUGGACGAUGGGCGCAAGCCUGAUCCAGCCAUACCGCGUGGGUGAAGAAGGCCUUCGGGUUGUAAAGCCCUUUUGUUGGGAAAGAAAAGCAGCAGGUUAAUACCCCGAUGUUCUGACGGUACCCAAAGAAUAAGCACCGGCUAACUUCGUG